AGAACCAAUGGGUGUGCCUGAGUCUUAUCACCUCUCAACUAGUGGGUACAAUUGGAGCUCAUGCUCCACUCUCAAGUUGAAUCUGAACUUGUUGACUGAUGCCAAGACGGCGGCUGCUAAGAAGAAGGGAGCAGCUGCAGACCAGAAGACAUCAGCCAAGGCAGCACUGGUCCACACCUACCCUGUCUUGUCGGACGCAGACCCGAAGACAUUCAAGCAGGACUUUGAGAGCAAGCAUCCCAAGUCAAUGGUCCCAGUACUGGUUGAUGUGCACGCCUAAACUAACGAUGACCACGAUUUGAAUGCUGCAACUGAGACGGAAUGACGUCAAGGGACACACGCUGAGACCCCGAGUAUGACUGGACAUGGCCUGGAUAUUUGUGACAAUUACCUAAAAGGGGUGCAGAAGCACACCAGCACCCAAUUUUAUUUUUAUUCCAUGGCCAACCAUCCCUCUAGCUACCCCUUAUUUCACACUAUGCCUUUUAUGCCCCAUGGUCACUCAACUUCUAACACUUUGGAACUCUCCAUCUUAUCUGAAUUAUA